rfam:TPA: Bos taurus chromosome 25, whole genome shotgun sequence.
GGCUGUGUGGCCUAAUGGAUAAGGCGUAUGACUUCGGAUCAGAAGUUUGCAGGUUCGAGUCCUGCCACAGUCG